rnacentral:rRNA from 1 species
CCUACGGGAGGCAGCAGUGGGGAAUAUUGGACAAUGGGCGCAAGCCUGAUCCAGCCAUGCCGCGUGUGUGAUGAAGGCCCUAGGGUUGUAAAGCACUUUCAACGGUGAAGAUAAUGACGGUAACCGUAGAAGAAGCUCCGGCUAACUUCGUGCCAGCAGCCGCGGUAAUACGAAGGGAGCUAGCGUUGUUCGGAAUUACUGGGCGUAAAGCGCGCGUAGGCGGACUAUUAAGUCAGGGGUGAAAUCCCGGGGCUCAACCCCGGAACUGCCCUUGAUACUGGUGGUCUAGAGUUCGAGAGAGGUGAGUGGAAUUCCGAGUGUAGAGGUGAAAUUCGUAGAUAUUCGGAGGAACACCAGUGGCGAAGGCGGCUCACUGGCUCGAUACUGACGCUGAGGUGCGAAAGCGUGGGGAGCAAACAGGAUUAGAUACCCCAGUAGUC